CGGUAACGCGUAUGCAAUCUACCUUUAACUGGGGAAUAGCCCAAAGAAAUUUGGAUUAAUACCGCAUAACACUAUUGAAUGGCAUCAUUCGAUAUUCAAAACUACGGUGGUUAAAGAUGAGCAUGCGUGACAUUAGCUAGUUGGUAAGGUAACGGCUUACCAAGGCUUCGAUGUCUAGGGGGUCUGAGAGGAUGAUCCCCCACACUGGUACUGAGACACGGACCAG
rnacentral:rRNA from 1 species